CUACGGGCUGCUCCAGUGAGGAAUAUUGCACAAUGGGGGGAACCCUGAUGCAGCAACGCCGCGUGGAGGAUGACGCAUUUCGGUGUGUAAACUCCUUUUAUAUGUCAAGAAAAUGACGGUAGCAUAUGAAUAAGCACCGGCUAACUCCGUGCCAGCAGCCGCGGUAAUACGGAGGGUGCAAGCGUUACUCGGAAUCACUGGGCGUAAAGGACGCGUAGGCGGGUUGGAAAGUCAGGUGUGAAAUCCUACAGCUUAACUGUAAAACUGCACUUGAAACUUCUAAUCUAGAGUAUGGGAGGGGAGGAUGGAAUUAGUGGUGUAGGGGUAAAAUCCGUAGAUAUCACUAGGAAUACCUAAAGCGAAGGCGAUCUCCUGGAACAUUACUGACGCUAAGGCGUGAAAGCGUGGGGAGCAAACAGGAUUAGAUACCCCUGUAGUC
rnacentral:rRNA from 1 species